rnacentral:rRNA from 1 species
UACGUAGGUGGCAAGCGUUGUCCGGAUUUACUGGGCGUAAAGGGCGUGCAGGCGGUUUGUUUAGUCUAGGGUGAAAGCUCCCGGCUUAACUGGGAGAGGUCCUUGGAUACUGGCAAACUUGAGGGAGGCAGAGGAAAGUGGAAUUCCCGGUGUAGUGGUGAUAUGCGUAGAUAUCGGGAGGAACACCAGUGGCGAAGGCGGCUUUCUGGGCCUUACCUGACGCUGAGACGCGAAAGCGUGGGGAGCAAACAGG